rnacentral:rRNA from 1 species
ACCUGUUCCCAUGUCGAACACAGAAGUCAAGCUUCUUAACGCCAAGAGUAGUUGGGGGAUCGCCCCCUGCGAGGGUAGGACGUUGCCAUGC